GCAGGAAUGAAAGUAUCUAAAUUAUAUCAUAUAAUCUACUUUUAUUUUUUAAAACCAUGAAAAUCACAUAGCAAAACUGGGAGAAGAGAUGGGCCAGACACAGGAAAAACACUGCUAUGUAAAGGAGGAGCCCUUAAAAGAACAGUCUCAUAGCUGGACUGUGCUGCAGUGAAAAAACUGAUAAAAUGCCCCAGUACUCAGAAAAAGAAGGAUAAGAAAAUGUGAAUAGAUAUGCAAGUGAGAAAACCAAAAGAAUUAGUAAUAUGACAAUACUCUUUCUCCACUUUGUUUUUACUGGAAGGGUGCCAAAAGAUGGGUUCUCUACUAUAUUAUUUCACUACAGUGGUGUUUAAAUUUUGGAGCUUGACUGAGACUUAUGCACAGUAUAAUAAAGUUUAUUGAACAGAAAUAUGUUGUCGCCUGUAGGCUGUAUGAUGG